AAACUCUGCGCUUUUGCAGCGCAGGAGCAUGUAUAUUGAGCUUGGUUAGAGGCCCAAAUCAUUUUUUACCUGGAUCCUGAACAAUUAUGUUGAAAUCUCUGACUUGUUUAUACUUCUCCCGGUGGCUUCAACUCCGAGCUAUGUGAUACUUGUUAUAUCAAUCCAACAGAUUUCCAAUACUCUAAUCGGGCUCCAUAUUGGACAGCUGUGUUCUAUUCAUUUAAAAUGCUUUUUAUGCAUCAUAAUCAACUCGAGCAUGUCGAACUUUAUGCUAACAUUUUACAGUGCCCUUUUAUAUGCAGGCUUGGUGAAGAUGCUGUCCUUCAUCCAGAGGGUUCUGCAGCAGCCAGCCAGCAGUUCCAACAUUUGAAAUCGCUGAUACCCCCUAAUCCUCCCACAACUGUUGUUUCCACCCUUACAUAGAAAGAUGGGUCAUUGCUCAAGUCUCAAGAGGACCAAUUAUUGAAAGACUGAUUUGGGCGCAGUAUUGGCUGGUUAUGGGGUUCCGCACUUGUCACCACGGUUUUUCAUUAGAUAUUUUCUAAUGAUGCCGGCCCUCCUAUGGUGGGGCCAAACUCCCCCCGUCCCUAUUGCGGUGACAAUGGCGGAUCAGCAUAACCAGCUAAAACUGUUUGGCCGAAGCUGAAAGAGGGAAGCUAUACUAAAGAAAAAGAAAGUUGGACUUCAUAUCAUGCAGGACUUCAUAUCUUCUAACACGGCUCCAUGGUUUGUAAUGGGCCUAUUGGCUGGUUGCCAACAUUUUCAUGACAUUAUCUAGAAUGCCGAUGAAACUGCCCCUGUCCCUACCUUGGUGACAAGGGCGAAUCCGCACCACCAGCAAAAACUGUUUUGCCGAAGUAUGAAAAGAAAAGCUAUUAUGAAGAAGAAGAAUAACCAGAUCAUGCAGGACUUCGUAUCUUCUGUUCAAGGACUCAAGGCAAGCUACAUUUCUGAUAAGUGUAAAUUACUUAAAAACAACUUAGGGAUAGCAGCAAUAAGCCAACAGGUAAAAAUACCACAAUAGUACCGAUGAUAUGAGUUCGAAACAUGUAACCACCAAAACUCUAUAUCUUUAUCGAUCAAAAGAAUAAAAAUGAAAAGAAUAAAUACACCACAAUAAUUAA